AUCAAUAAUGGAAGCUUUCUCUACAGCUUCAGGUCCAAUUCAGUGUUUUCUUGAGGAUCUGUGCCUUUCAACACAGAAAGUCUAAAAUUCUCAAUAUCCAGGGUUCCAACAUCAGGUCUCUGUAGGUUCUACCUGAAAAUAGUGAAAUAAAGAGACGCCUCCAGAGGAACCAAUUGUCAUUAGCAAGUGCAGUGAGGAGUGAGAAGUCAUUAUGUGCUGCUUCCAGAACAGAGAUGACCCCACAUCCUACAUUGAAGCUGCAUGCAAACCAUCACUCUCUGCACCAGAAGGAUUAGUCACCAUAAAAUACGGGGGGGGAAGCAGGGAAUUGCUUGUUGAAUAACACCAGCAACUUUCUGUGCAUCACUUGUUCCUGGGAAUAACCCUAAGAAGCAGAAGGCCUGCUUUUCUCUGCUCUCCUAAUGAAGUGUGAGACCUCUUCCUCCUACAGUCCCCCACCAGGAUCUUCUUCCUUCUGCUGGCCAAAUCUUUCCUGGAACAGUUCUGCUCUGCUGCCAUCAAAAAUAAAGAUAAUAGAGAAAGAUGAAAUGAACAUGAGGGAGGUUGACUGCUUUAAUUACAAACUCCAGGAAGGCUGGAAAGAAGACUUUAUCUUGGGGGUGCUGGUGGAUGAGAGGCUGGACACAUGCUGACCAUGUGCACCUGUAGCUCAGAAAUCCAGUUUUAUCCUGGGCUGAUCCCACAGCCUGGACAGCAGAGAAAGGGGGGAUUCUGCCCCUCUGCCCCCUCAGGUGAGGCCCCACCUGCAGAGCUUUAUCUGGGCAAGACCAGGCAGAUAAAUUGUCCCGAAAACCUUGAAUUAUCUAUUCAGAGUGACCCAAAGCUCUCAGUGAUGUGUCUGGAAGGACAUGGUGCAUUAACCACCCCUGAGAUCUGUGGUCAAAGAUAUGACACCAGUGGUAUCUCUGAAAACUCUCUUGUUUUAACACCCCUCCAAGCUGGCUUGUGCAAAUGCUAAGGGAUUGCAACUCAUCCCAGCCUCCCUGGUUCUGUGAAGUACCAAAUACUUGCCAAAGCCUGUGAAAAUAGCACAUAAAAAUGUCAACUCUCGAUGUUAGGGAAGAAUAUUUCUCCAAACAAGAUUGGAUUUAGAUUUUCUGUCUAACCUGCUCUUUGUGGUUGUGGUUGUUUGGGUUGUUUAUAGAAGCUGGUGAGAAAGAAGGCAGAGGAGAGUCAAUCAAGAGCUGAAAAAAAAAAAAUUCCAUAAACUGAGUUAGAGCCUCAUAAAAAUUUAGAUUUUUUUUUUUAAUUUAUAAAUGUCUAAAUAUUUUUUCCUUUUUUUUUUUUAAGUUGGAAAUAAAAACCCAUUGAUUUAGAGUGUUGCUAGAGAGCUUUGGAGCACUUAUUUGCCCAUUUUAUUUAGACUGAGAUUCCCUGUUGGAGCCAAGCCCUGUGGUGCACUGUUCCUCUGUGUGCUGUCAAAGAGAAAAACCAUGAACCAAUUUCCAGCUUAAUAUAUAUUUCUGAGUUAACACUGAGAACAUUUUACUUACCUAAACACAGUGUAAAUCCCACAAAAGCAAACCAA